ACGAAGAGAAGAGUUUUGAACCAUUUAUUUCAAUUUAAAUUUAUUGAUAUUUUUAUUAAUUUAUUAAUUAUAUAUUGGACAACAAAAUCAUACAUUUUUUCUUUUACAUCUCAAUUUCUAAUACGCACCCAAGUAUUUUGAGAAAUUCUGAACAAAAUUCCAAUAUCCCUCCGGACUGCGAUUGAUGAAACGUACAAGAUGAUAUGCCGAAAGGGACUUACAGUAUCUAUGUGGUAUUGGGUGGUCAAUAUUUUUCAGGCCACAAGAAUGCACCCAUUGCAAAUGAUCUCUUCUCUUCAAGGGUGCCCUUAAAGUUUAGGCCAUAUUCCCUAAGGAGAAAAUCCAGCCUCCUCUCAUCCAUCUUCUCAUAAUCUGACUUGGAGUACCGUGGAUAAUGAAGAGGCAUUUGGAACCCCCGUGAAAGAUAAGACUCCAUCUCUAAGGUUGGCUUUGUGUUAUUGAUGACUCCUCCAUUGACGUAUUGCUCGCUGUGGUACCCUACAACUUGGCCGUCCUCCUGCACCUUCCUGCUCUCUUUGCUAGGGUACCCUACAACAUGACAAGCCGAAUGAAGAAGCCACCUCAAAGCCAUCUAUUCUCUCUCCCUCUUUCUCUCUCUCUCGACACAAAGAGAAAUUUCUGGAAGUUGGAGUUUGAAGCAAAGUUAUAGGAAGAAGGAACUCUAUUUAUAGGCAGAUUGAAAACGUACAGGACAAAUGUUUUAUAUUUAAUAAAU
rnacentral:lncRNA from 1 species